UAUUCAACAAAUACUAAGUACAACCCACUCCAAAUAAAAGCAGAAAUAACAAGUCAUCGGGAUAGGGUGCUGCGCCUGUUACGAGAUCCCAGACGUCGGCCUUCCUGCGAUUCUCACUGGAUGCUGUGUGAGCAGGCCUGCCAGGUGCCCAGAAGAUGCUGAACAAAAGACAUGGGAACCAUUAGGUUUAAAAUCACUUCCUGGGCUGUGCCCUUUGUCCCCUUGCUCGGAAGGCACUUUGUCACCAGGCUCCAGGGCCGGCAGGCUUCUCCAGAGCUUUCCAGAUUAAAACGAGAGCUGACCCAGAUGAAGCAAGAACUGCAGUACAAAGAAAAGGGGGUAGAGACCCUGCAAGAGUGAGUGGCCUGCAGUGACAGAGGGAGAGUUUCCCUGUGAUUUCCUGUUGCGCUGACCUGUUUGGUGCCGGGACAUGUGUCCUAAAGCUUCAUGGGUGUU